GUGCCAGCAGCCGCGGUAAUACAUAGACCUCAAGCGUUAUCCGGAUUUACUGGGCGUAAAGCGUGCGUAGGCGUCCAGCCAAGUUUCUGGUGAAAUUUCACGGCUCAACUGUGAAACUGUCAGAAAAACUGGCUGGAUUGAGUAUGGUAGAGGCAGAUGGAAUUCUCGGUGUAGCGGUAAAAUGCGUUGAUAUCGAGAAGAACACCAGUGGCGAAGGCGAUCUGCUGGGCCAUUACUGACGCUGAGGUACGAAAGCGUGGGUAGCGAACGGGAUUAGAUACCCGUGUAGUCC
rnacentral:rRNA from 1 species